UACAGAGACUGCAAGCGUUAUUCGGAUUCACUGGGCGUAAAGGGUGCGCAGGCGGCCAAAGUGUGUCAGGUGUGAAAUCCCGAGGCUUAACCUCGGAACUGCGCCUGAAACUACUUGGGCUAGAGUACUGGAGAGGGUAACGGAAUUCACGGUGUAGCAGUGAAAUGCGUAGAUAUCGAUGAGGAACACCAGAGGCGAAGGCGACUCACUGGACGACGAUAUUGACGCUGGAGGUGACGAAAGCGUGGGGAGCAAACAGG
rnacentral:rRNA from 1 species